rnacentral:rRNA from 1 species
GACGAACGCUGGCGGCGUGCUUAACACAUGCAAGUCGAACGGAAAGGCCCUGCUUUUGUGGGGUGCUCGAGUGGCGAACGGGUGAGUAACACGUGAGUAACCUGCCCUUGACUUUGGGAUAACUUCAGGAAACUGGGGCUAAUACCGGAUAGGAGCUCCUGCUGCAUGGUGGGGGUUGGAAAGUUUCGGCGGUUGGGGAUGGACUCGCGGCUUAUCAGCUUGUUGGUGGGGUAGUGGCUUACCAAGGCUUUGACGGGUAGCCGGCCUGAGAGGGUGACCGGCAAAAUUGGAACUGGGAUACGGCCAAGACUCUUAGGGGAGGAAGCAGGGGGAAUAUUGCACAAUGGGCGGAAGCCUGAUGCAGCAACGCCGCGUGCGGGAUGACGGCCUUCGGGUUGUAAACCGCUUUCGCCUGUGACGAAGCGUGAGUGACGGUAAUGGGUAAAGAAGCACCGGCUAACUACGUG